GGGAGGUCAAGGCUGCAGUGAGCUGUGGUCGUGCCACUGCACUCCAGCCUGGGCAACAGACUGAGAGACCGUGUCUCAAAAAAAACAAAAACAAACAAAAACCAUAGUGAUCUCUCAUGCUUGCUUACCCUUUUAUAUACUUCUCAGGGAGUGUUUGACUUUUUCCCAAAAGGUCAGUAAUCUUUUUCCAGUGUCAUUGUAUUAAUCUUAUCAAUUCUUCUCACUUCUUUCAGUGACCUCUUCCAUCCCAGUAUUUGACCUCCAGGAUGGUGGACGGAAAAUAUGUCCACGAUGUAAUGCUCAAUUUCGUGUUACUGAAGCUUUGAGAGGUCACAUGUGUUACUGUUGCCCAGAAAUGGUUGAAUACCAGAAGAAAGGAAAGUCCCUGGAUUCAGAACCCAGUGUCCCAUCAGCAGCAAAGCCCCCAUCCCCUGAGAAAACAGCUCCUGUUGCUUCCACACCCUCUUCUACACCUAUUCCUGCUCUGUCACCGCCUACCAAAGUACCAGAACCAAAUGAGAACGUGGGCGAUGCCGUCCAGACCAAACUCAUUAUGCUUGUAGAUGACUUCUACUAUGGACGGGAUGGUGGCAAAGUAGCCCAGCUCACAAAUUUCC
rnacentral:lncRNA from 1 species